rnacentral:rRNA from 1 species
UUUCCCCUUCGGGGGACAGAGUGACAGGUGGUGCAUGGUUGUCGUCAGCUCGUGUCGUGAGAUGUUGGGUUAAGUCCCGCAACGAGCGCAACCCUUGAUCUUAGUUGCCAGCAUUCAGUUGGGCACUCUAAGGUGACUGCCGGUGACAAACCGGAGGAAGGUGGGGAUGACGUCAAAUCAUCAUGCCCCUUAUGACCUGGGCUACACACGUGCUACAAUGGAUGGUACAAAGGGCUGCAAACCUGCGAAGGUAAGCGAAUCCCAUAAAGCCAUUCUCAGUUCGGAUUGCAGGCUGCAACUCGCCUGCAUGAAGCCGGAAUCGCUAGUAAUCGCGGAUCAGCAUGCCGCGGUGAAUACGUUCCCGGGCCUUGUACACACCGCCCGUCACACCACGAGAGUUUGUAACACCCGAAGUCGGUGAGGUAACCUUCAUGGAGCCAGCCGCCUAAGGUGGGACAGAUGAUUGGGGUGAAGUCGUAACAAGGUAGCCGUAUCGGAAGGUGCGG